CAGUCCGUCAUCAAUCGAUAGCGGGCAGGGUCGCCGCGCAGACGUGUUUGACAGUGCUGAGGGGUUGCUGCUCGCUUUGGGCGGGGAAAUCGGAAAGGCGGCCCGGGAUUUCAUGAUGGGAUUACGAGACUUAUUUUUCCCUGUUCUCAAACGAGGGCAAUAAAUGUGUUGAGGAUUGUGAAGAAAUUUGCCGACGGGAACGGAUAGACCUCGCGGAAGGAGCGAAGAGCGACACGUCAACACACCCAUCGUCGCCACCGUUGGCGGUUGGUGACGUUCGAAGGAGCGAGUGCGCGCACCGGCAGGGCGGGAGCGUGUGCGCAUGCGUGACCAGAAGGUGCCAGAAGCCGACGAGGACUACGACGGGGGAAAAAAAAAGGACGGUCCGGGAGGGCGCGACAUGGCGGCCGUCAAGCGAGCGCGGUGGGAGGAGGAGGAGCUGAUGGGUUGCUACUGCAUGAUAUCCCUACACCAGAUGUUCGAGUCGGUGGGCUCGCAGCUGACCGAGGCCGACGUGGAGGCUCUGUCCUUCCUGCUUGACGAGGCCUACCCGCUGAGCCCGGCGGCCGAGGCCCCGCCAAGCCCUGAGGAGAUCGAGGGCGUCGACUGGAGACCGGAUAGCGUUGACGCCCUGGAGCGGCCACUGGAUACCGGCCGCAUUCACCAGCCCAAGAGCGGCGUGCGCCUGCUGUUUGAGCUGGAGCGGCGGGGCCUGUGUGACGAGACCGGUUUCGGGAACCUGCUGCAGCUGCUCCGGGUCAUCAACCGGCACGACCUGCUGCCCUACGUCAGUCAGAAGCGGAGGAGAACAGUGUCUCCUGAGAGGUGCACGUACGGAAGACCUGCAUCAGGAAUUAGAGACCAGAUGGAAAGCUGUUUAAGUUCCGAGCAUGCUAAUUCGACACAGAGGGAUUGGGAAUCAGGAACAUCCCCGAAUAAGCAACGGUGUGUAGGUCGCAGGAGAAGUCAAGCUGCCGGUAAGCGAAGGGGGCGCAAGAGCAAUGUGCCCUGUAACCGGGAAGCAACUGACCAACAGUCUCCCCAGUUACAGAAAGCAACAUGUGGUGAGUAUUUGCCCCUGCACAGUGUGCUUGUUUUAAUUUUAUACAUAGUUUUCGGCCCCCACUGUUUAAUUGGAAAGGAAAAGGAGAGAAUUUUUUUUGUGGCUGUCUGUUUAGAUGAUCCAACAAUUCAGUUGGGUGUAUUGGGCUGGAAUUCUGCUUGCUGCUUAACUACAAAUACCCCCCUGAAUAUGAAAUGGAGAACUUGAAAAGUGAGGGUUAGAAGUUGCAUUUUAAUGGGUUAUAAUGAAUGUGGUCAGAUUAAGUAUCAGUAAAGUUAUGACCUGUAAAUUAACUUUUCUAACCAAACUACCAUUGCCACCCUGCCCCCAAGAAGAUUAGUCAGUGUAAAUUUUUUCUUGGGUGUUCACAAGAUGAAGGUAAUGCUUUGUGGGUGAUUAAGUCCCAAGUAGUCACCACAGCAAAAACCAACUUAUGUAAAUUUGAUGCAUUCUUUAUAUCGAGGGAUGGUGUUCUGAAUAAUAGAUUUGCUUUACAUUUGGGUAUAGUAUCUUUUAAAACUGCCUUGUGAACUUGAUAAUUUUUCCAAUUCUUUGAAUUCUCUUUUUAUUGGUAUUAAGUACAAAUGGGGUGCAAAUAUUCAUGUGGGUCAAUGAAGUGACAAUAUUUGGUAUGGUCUUUAAGGCCACUUUUCCUAUCAAAUUCUUAUUGUAUAAUUAAUCAUCAGUAGUUGGGUUGGGGAGAUAGCUUUUGGUACCUGGAAACACAAAUCAGUGUAUCCAUGUUGGGACGAUCAGUUUUUUUUUGUCCUUGACAGUCCAUAAUGUUCCUCAAUCCACUUCAAGAACCACAGUAUGAGAUUGCAAUCUGCAAACAACUGCAAGCGUAGAGUGACACUGAAAAAUGUGUCAGAAAUAAGCUGUUUCUGCAUGCCUCUGGGUUACUCAAUGGGCACAGAUGUAUUCAAAUGCUCACAGACUGGUCUUUGAUUAAAAUUUUGCAAAUGAUCCCAUACUAAUCCUAUAUGUCUAAUGCUGUUUAAUGAGAAAUUCUUUAAUGACAAGCUUGCAGUGGCCUUGAUUGUUCAUAUGACCUCAUUAACUGAUGGGUAACUAGAUGCAUGGUGUCUCAAAGUUUAAAAGCUCAGUCGCAUGCUAGGAGUUUGAAGUAUUGAUCAGCUUCCCUGGGAGGUCAGUAUAGUGCUCAGUAAAAUAGAAAAGGCCUGUUCUAGACCCAGUUUACAUUACUAAAAUGGGGAAGUGAUUAGAAUCUCAGCUGCUUUUUGAUAUUCUGUGGCUAAUGUCUACAGAAAGAUGCAAGGCAAGGGCAGAGUUAAGCUCUACUGUGUAGCUCAGAAUUCUCUCAGCAAUGUAAGUUGUAGUUCUGUUGCUUAAUUCAAAGUUUAGUGGUACUUCCAAACUAUCACUCAUACUAAAAUGAACUUUUGGGCUGUUUAAGGAGUUGUUUGCCAAAAGACAUGGAGUUUUGAAAUGUUCCUGAAUACACCUUUUCCUGGUUGCAUGAGAUUUUAUCCUCAUCACUUUACCAAUGUCUAUAUGCAUUGUGCUCCUAGAAUUGAAACCACUAACUCCUACCCCCUUCCUGAAAAUGAAUCCUAAGCAUUUUGCUACUAGGAUUUGAAGUGACUGGCAGCCUAUGAAACAGGACACCAGUCCGCAUGGAAGUCAAACGUUCGGCUAUUUGAUUUGUCUCAGUUGCAGGAUUUAACCUUUGACAGAAAUCUGCAAAAUCACUAACAUCCAUGGCAGUGUGCAGGGCUUCUUCCUCUGAAUUUCCCCUUGCUCAUUUGAAGUAGCAAAUGUGCACCAGUCUGUGAGCAUAUUGCAAUAAUUACACAGUUAAGAGUUGUGUGUUGUGUUCCUAAAUGAACAAGGUAUUGUGGCAGUAUAUUGCUCAUGAGUUCAACUAUAAUUGUGCAGUGCUCUGUAACUGCUAGUGAACUAAGGAAUAUAACCCUACAACAAGGCACCUGUCAAUUUGUGUACUGAUAUCAUCUUGAACAAUGGUGGACCCCUCCCUCAGAGUUGUUUUUUCUUGCAUUUUCACACUUGAGUGGUAAAUAAAUGGUGUGAGGAAUUUUGUGGAACAAAACAUUACUUUGCAAAAGUCUGGUGAAAUGUGUUGAUCCUGUUUGUGUCCAUGUGCCUACGUGACAGCAAUCCUUCUGAGCGGUCUGCAGGAUAUGUGUUCUAAAGAAGAGUCUCUCUAUGCACACGUUCUUUCAAAAAAACAUAGGUUGGCUCUUGUACAACAACUUCCUUCAUGAUGUGGCAACAAGUCUCUGGUAGGUCCAAGCACAGCAUCAACAACAAAAAAGCAGUAUGUGAUUUUCUUCAAAUAUUAAUCUAAAAAAAAACUUAAUUCUUUAAAAGCAGUCCAAGGACUCUCGCUUUAUGUACAUAAAAUAAUAUAACAUAGAAUCUAACUGUGCAUUUCUUUGAAAAGUAGUGUAACUUUGUACUUGAACACACUUCAGCUUCUGACGUGAGAUCUGUUUUUGAGGAUUUUUGUGAUCAAACAUUUAAUUACAGGUAUACCACUCAAAGAUUGGUGAUAAGAGAGUCUGUCUCUCUGACAAAGAUUCAUCUUUAAGGAUAUGUUCUGACAGGAGAAUAGAACAAGGUAAACCUUUAAAUUUGUUGAGGGGAGUCAAACAGUUGCUAGACUAAAAUAGUGGCCAGAGUGCCUGAAGAUGCCACCCAGACUAGUCCUUGUACUGGAAAAUAAGUUCUGUUCUCAUUUAAAAACAAGUUCUAAACUGUGACCUCAAUGCCAAAUUGGAGGAAAAAAGUUCUUUCAAGCUAAAGACAAGGAUUUUUGGAAUUGCUAACUGUCCUCAGUCUGAUUUUUUUUAAAUCUUAGCAUGAUGAACAGUGAAGCCAAAAGAUCUUAAGAUCUCAUCUCCAUUUUAUAGUUUGUUUUAGCAACUGGCCUCAAUUCUGGAUCUGAGUUUACAUUUUACAUCUUAAUGCGGACUGAUCUUGCUCAUCUGGUCCGUGUGUUAUUUUAAAUUUUAAAACGAAUUCCUAUGUGACUAAAUCAACUCGUCUCCUCCAGAGAUGUUGUUUGCAGGCCCUUGGGCAGGAAUACCUGACCUGCCGCAGUAAUCAAAGUUUUGACUGUCAGUUCUCCUGGGACUGAAUAUCUGGAUUGUUAAUAAAAUCUGUAUUAACAAGAUACUGUGCUUCCAUCCAUUAUAUCCCUUUGAAUGAGUUACUAGAUGUUUGGAAUUGGCCAUCUGGAGACUAAGCCUGGACCUUAUCUAUCUUCUACUAUUACUAGUUUAAAACAAAAAUACCCUAAAUGAAAAGCUCCCUACACUGUUCCAGAAAUCUGCAAAGAUUAAAUGCAGUUGGCUUACGACAGUCACUAUACUUGACAUGCUCUCUGAGACGGAUCCGAGUGUCUUGAAGUUCCAUGGUUGCGUUCAAUUGUAUGACUUUGUUCAGUAAUCUCCCAAGAAUUAUAGGGGGAAAAGUCCCUUCCUCUGCUAUGUACAUAUUGAAAAGUAGGCCCAAGCUCAUAUUUUUAAGAGCAGUUUGAAUGACUGUUUGAGGUCAUUUGCAAUUCUGCCUUGGACUUCAACAUCAGUUUCCCUUAAACUAAAAUAAUAGUUUCCUAUUUGGAAAGUAACUGAUUCCAGUGCUUAGACCACUGAGGAUGCACAAAUCUAUGGGAAAAUGUCAUCUUUAUUUUGUAAGAACAACAUGAAACCAAUAUCCUUUUAAACAGUUCUCUCUCGAAUACUGUGACUUUUGCAUUUGAAAGUGGGGCAGAUUUAGUAUAUUUAGCCCUAGAAUGGUAUAAAGAUAUUGAGCCAAGUAUUGGUUCAUACCCAGUAUUCCUGAGGGUGAAAGUCCAUCCAGACUUUGGUUUACUUUAUCAUUGUUCAUGCCAUCUCCCUACCACAUGAGGCCCAAUGAGCUACCAUUUGUUCCCCUGAACUGGUUAUUGUGAUAUUCACUUGUUCUCCCGCACCUCACUGAACACAUGCAAGUUGGUGGCUGAACAUGUUUCUAAAGCAGGGAAAAGUUCUUGUAAUAUAGUGGCCUAUAGUGUACACAGCAACAGUAGUUUGCUGUUGUUGCAAUCAUCUGCAACGUGCUCACAAUAUCUUGGAGUGUGUAGCAAAUGGCAUAUCUGCCAUCCUUUUCUGGGAAUUUAGUUUGGGGGUGGGUGUGUGAGGCCUGCCUGUGUUGCUGAUUGUGGUCUGAGUUAUCUAUGAGUAUCUGUUCUGUUAAUGAAACAUUUAUCAAGUGGCAGAAAUGUUUUAAAAGUCAAAACCUGUCUCUCUCGGUUCACAGUUAACUCUACAGCAAGAUGAUAAAGUAGACGCAAAGAAAGAGAUGGUGGGCUAAUUAUCACCACCAAAACGCAGGAAAUAAAACAAACGGGUUCCCCUCAGCCUCAAGAAAUUACACUCAAAGCAGUCUGCUCUACUGUUUCUACGUUAUCUUUUGGACUAAGGUGCACAUCUUCUCACAAAAUGAAGCUUGAGAUUCAGAUCUGGAAUUGGGGAUGUUCUUUAUCCCCACAAUAACCAAAGGUUGGAAAAUGCUCAAGGUGUUGUCAGUGAAUUCAACUGUUGUGUCCGACUGGAGAUGUGUUUUAUGUCAAGGAUAUCUACGUGAUGCUGUUCGGUUGCCAUCCAGUAGGGAGAAUGUUGCACUCCAUUAAUAAUGCUGUAAGCCUUGCCUACUGUACACUCAAGAUAAUACAAGUACUUUGGGGGGAAAAUGUUGGAUUAUAAUUUUGCAGCAAAAGCCUCGAUGUCCAGAUAUGUACCUGCUUCCCAGUCAUAACUCAGCGGGUAUCAGUUCAAAUUCAGAGGAGUUUAGUCCAGUUCAACAAAUUUCAGGUCAAAAAGGAGUACUUGAAUUUGCAAGUGUCCGUCCAUGAAGGGAAAGUGAUGUAAAGAGAAUUGAUGGUGCUCAGCGUAUGUAAAUUCCUUCAAUCCACCUGCAUUUUUUUUACUAGAUGCUAUAAACUGA